CCAGCUGGGGCUCAAACCGCAGCAACCUUCUUGCUGUGAGGUGAUUGGGCUACCCACUGCACCAUCGUGCUGCCCUAUGACUAAAUAUGACAGUAAUGUUAUUUAUUAGGUUAAACUAAAUCAAAUUUUGUGGUCAAAAUAUAAUACUUACUAUGCUGAAAACGCAGAUUAAGUUAACAAUUAAGUGAAUGUGAAUAUUUAAUGUGAUUAUUAAUAAUAAAAAAUAACUAAAGUAUAAUACAGUAUUUAUUACAGCUUAUCAUUUAUGCAUUAUGCACGGGGUAUUUUUUCUGGUGUAAAAUGCUGUUAGCUUUUUUUAUCAUGACGUUUUCUAAAACAUUUUUCCCAGUGUAAGUUAAAAUCAAAAUCUGUUCUGCAUUUAGGCUGUUUAAUUAAAAUAAACACCUUGUUUUUACAGAGUGACAUCUUUAUUUUAUAAAUACAUGUAUUUAUAUUUAUUGUUUAUUUAUUUUUUACAGUGAAUCUGAGGCACAAAUAACGUGUGACUUUAGUAGGCUACAAAAACACUAAGCACAUUUUAAAGAUAAAAGGUAUCAUUCAAAACACUGGAGCGGGAGUUGCUAUGGGAAACGAGGCAACGAUGCUUUGACAACACAACUUCUCUCACGCUGCUGUUUUCAGGAGUGACAGAAUAACACCCUGCUACAAAAAAGAGGAUACAAGAUUUCUACAUUUCUGAAGUGAGCUGAUCACAGAGAUGCAGGAAACACAGGGUUGCUACUCCAAGGUUUAGAUUUGACUACUGCAGUCCUGGUGUGGGUCCAGCCUCACUUGUGAAGACUAAAGAUGAUGACAACAUUUAAGAACACCUUUAGAUGAUGGCCACACACUGUAUUCCACCUGUAUAUCCAUUUUCAUGUGUAAGCAUCAUUCCACAAGAUACAACAAAAUUUAACAACAGGUUAUUUAAUUUAAUGACAAAAUCUGUUUUUUUUUUGUGUUGUGCAUCAGUUUUCUUUAAAAAUGAACUGGGUAUCUCUGAGAAAGUAUUGUCAUUUUAUUUUAUUCACAUGUUAUUAGUACAGAGGAGAUAUUACAAAUUGUUGAAUACCAAUUAUAAGAUUUGUUUUUAACAGAGCAUAAGACUACAGACUUUAAUAAGAUUUUAUCAGAAAAUUAUUUUUUAAUUUGCAUGAUUUCAUUUACUCCUGUAAAUAUUGUUUGCCAGGUAUUUUUAGUGUUUAUGCACUCUUUUAUGCACUCUUUUAUUUAUUAUAACUCUAUUGUAAUUUAUUUUAAGAAAGUCUGAACACAUGAACACAUGUAACACAUGACUGGUGUUAUCUUAUAUGUUAAAAUUAUAAUUUUGGAAAACAUGCGUUUUCUUUAACAUUAUUUAAGAAAGUAGCCUACCAGCAUUGUAAAAUGUGCUUGCACAAUUUGUGUUUUUACUAUAGUAAAACUGUAUCCACCAUGAGUGUUUUGAAGUACUUGUAAAUAUUACUAUGGUUUUAAUGUAAAUGCUGUAAUGGAUUUUGUAUUUAAAAUCUUUAUUGCAACUAAUUAAUUGCAACUUUAUUGCAACUAGUUAACUCAGCCAUGGUUAUUGUGAAACUGGUUGACUUUGUUUUAAAUGUGGUAAAGCAUGGUUGUGAAAAUACUAAUAAAUCUUGAACUGUUA